UACGUAGGGCGCAAGCGUUUGUCCGGAAUUAUUGGGCGUAAAGAGCUCGUAGGCGGUCUGUCACGUCGGCUGUGAAAACCCGGGGCUCAACCCCGGGCCUGCAGUCGAUACGGGCAGACUGGAGUCCGGCAGGGGAGACUGGAAUUCCCGGUGUAGCGGUGAAAUGCGCAGAUAUCGGGAGGAACACCGGUGGCGAAGGCGGGUCUCUGGGCCGGUACUGACGCUGAGAAGCGAAAGCAUGGGGAGCGAACAGG
rnacentral:rRNA from 1 species